GACGAACGCUGGCGGCGUGCCUAAUACAUGCAAGUAGAACGCACAGUUUAUACCGUAGCUUGCUACACCAUAAACUGUGAGUUGCGAACGGGUGAGUAACGCGUAGGUAACCUGCCUGGUAGCGGGGGAUAACUAUUGGAAACGAUAGCUAAUACCGCAUAAUAUUAAUUAUUGCAUGAUAAUUGAUUGAAAGAUGCAAUUGCAUCACUACCAGAUGGCCCUGCGUUGUAUUAGCUAGUAGGUGAGGUAACGGCUCACCUAGGCGACGAUACAUAGCCGACCUGAGAGGGGGAUCGGCCACACUGGGACUGAGACACGGCCCAGACUCCUACGGGAGGCAGCAGUAGGGAAUCUUCGGCAAUGGACGAAAGUCUGACCGAGCAACGCCGCGUGAGUGAAGAAGGUUUUCGGAUCGUAAAGCUCUGUUGUAAGAGAAGAACGGGUGUGAGAGUGGAAAGUUCACACUGUGACGGUAUCUUACCAGAAAGGGACGGCUAACUACGUG
rnacentral:rRNA from 1 species